GGGAGUCUUAAGCCUACAUUAAGUAGGCUUAAGUUGCUUUGCUGUGAGAGAAAAUAAUUUUCUUUUUCUUCUGUGGAUGAGUUCGUGGUUUGGAACAGGGGCAUUCCUACACCUUAAUGUUUCCGUUUAUCUCAGCGUGUUGUCCCCUUGGCUUUAGGCCUACUUACGUCUCUGUUCUACCCCUCUCACCUUUCUCUCCCCAAAUUUAGAACUGACAAUCCCUUGAGUUAUGUGGAGGGAAGAAAACAACGGUUCAGGUCUCUCAGGGAGAUUCAGAAAGAGAACAGAAACUCAGAGACAUGAAGCACUCUGUCCCUCUUGGCUUGUAUGCACACUCAGAACUAAGUCACAGAGAUGUCGUUCCCAUGGUGACCCAACGGCACGGCCACAGAGACUUUGCUGGGUGUCAACUCAGCUGUUUUUUCCUAAUCUCCUAUAACACAGCAGUCAUAUAGAGAAAUGCAAUUGGGCUUGACUUUAACAUGGCUUUUUAUUUUUCCUGACGCAGGUCUGGCUGGCAGGACCGGGGGUGGAGUUUUGAGCAGCGAGGCUGGAAUGGUGGACAAGGGCCAGUUGACCAGGGUCACUGAAAGCCUUGCUAAAAGGUAGCCUUCAUCCGGGUAGCCUCCCUUUCUCAAAUUCUGCUGUCAGACCACCUACAUGAGAAUCCCUUGUGGGUACUCGUUAAAAAUGUAAAUUCCUGGGCUCCACCCAGACCUUUUAAACCAGAGUCCAGGGAGUGGCACAGAAGUUUGCAUUUUUUGCAAGCACCCCAGGGGAUUCUUGUGCAAACUGAAGUUUGAGAGCUAUUGCUGUAGGUCACUUGGAGCCUGGCAGGCAGGAAGCAGACGUGGGGUUCAGCAAGAGUACUUUGAUACCGUAGGAAGUGACUGCAGCUAGGUGGUUGGUUCAUAAUCCGGACUUCUAUGAAACACCUGCAUCCUAUGCUUCCUUGUGCUGUGCACUGUUUGAGAUGAUUUAGAAACAGCAACUCAUUUAAUUCUCCUAACAACCCCAGGAUCGAGUUCUGUAAUUGUCUCCACGUUCUGGAGGAGGAAACUGAGGCACAGACACUGGCCCGAGAUCAGACAGUGGUGUGAGCACCCGUCCUCAACUACUAGGCUCUGCUGAGAUGGAAGGGCGUGGCCACCUAUUGGACAAGUGCCUCGAGGAAGGAGAAAUCAAGGACAACCAAGAGGAUGAUGGGAACGUUACCCUGAACCUGAAUGUGCAGAUGUGCUGGUUUCUACGUUCUUCUGCUGCUAACUCCUCCCUUAUUAGUUGUGAGGUCUUUAAAGGCGGGUAUCCUGAAAUCACCCACGGCUUCCAAAAGGGUUUCAUCUACUCUGGAUGGGAGCAGUCUUAGGGAUGGAGAGAGGACCGUUCAGACCAGGUGAAUCUUGGAGCUGGUGAACGUCAGUGGAAGCUUCAUCUUCACAGACAUCUGCCUUCUAGAAAACAGAGUUGUGGUCCAUCGCUUUACCAAUGAGUCAAGAAACUGUUUUCUUAACCAGAAUUCCAAGUGAAGGAGCCAUCUGUCAACAUGUAUCAUUUUCAUCAAGGUAGUGUCAGAACUAUGAACACUAGACUCGGACCGUUACCGAAAAUGCCACCUUAGCGGUUCUAAUGAUGACGUUGGAGUGCGUGUAUGUAUGCGUAUUGGUUACUUAAUACACUAAUUAUGGGGGGGGGCUUUUGCAGCUAAACUGGAAACCAAACCAUAAUUCACAAUAUUUCCACGCUCUAAAUAAUAAUUAAAAAAAAACUUUUGGAUCACAGCAGGGUUGUGAGUCAGGGACAGCCUAUUCUACUUGGAGAGAAAGGAGGGUCUGCGCGGCUUCCUAUGGGACUCCCUGGCAAUAUUCCAGACAGUCCCCAGGAGCAUCAUUUCUUCAAAAAAAGAAAAGCUGAAACAGCUAGAGAUCUGAGACCCAGCACACAGAGGGCACUCUAGAUGUUUGCAGGCUUUCGUCACCUUUCCGCAAAGGAAAUGGGUAUGUGCUAACUACACGCUGCCAGUUAUUCACAGCCUUCAUUUUCUUCCUCUUCUGCCUUCUCCAGGUUAUAUUAAGCUUAAUUAUAGGUUCACUAGGUGUUGUAGAUUUCCUAAAGUCUGCAAGAAAAAUAGACUUUCCGACUGACCCAGACAAUGCUGAGUGCAUUAAGGAAUGCACUGAGGAAGGAAGGAAGGAAGGAAGGAAGGAAGGAAGGGAAGGAGGGAGGGCGGGCAAGCCAAUCGUCGGCAGACAAGACGACAUACACACUGUAAAAUGUUUCUUUGGAAAUUCGUCACUCAGGAGUAAUGGCAGUAGAACGCACAGGAGAAUCCAGCACAGGAAGGUGCAUUGUUCUGUGCGGUGGGUCUGUGGCUGGGGCUUCCGGGGUCUGUGGACCCCUGACAUGAGCUGGAAAGACAAGUGGAUUCCCUUCUGGCCUGAGGGACUCUGGACCUCUGUGACUUCCAAGAGGGGUAAAGUUCAAUGCUAACCUCACCAGCGAGAGGUAGUAUUCCAGGAGGAAUCUCAAACCCUCAUUCUUUGUGAAGUCCAUGUGACCAUCAAAUCAGGAGGCUGUUUUCUCUGUGGGCAGUUCUGAGAAUCAAGGAUCCUGUUCAUUCUGGAUUUGAAAAGACAGACCUAGGAAGGAGGUGGGCACUCACUCACCAUCUCUGAAAAAAGGUAUAGUAAGUAGAUUAACAGAGUAAACCAGAUUAGAAAGCCAGAACUUUUAACUGGCUCAGAAAUUAAACUUUUAUUUGGCAUUCUAGCAACUGAGUCAUUUGAAUGUUAAUAUGAAAUGCACAGGUUUUCUAUAUAUGAAAAUGGAUAAUGUGGGUCUUUUUUAAAAAUUUUGUUGGGCAGCAUUUGAUGAAUACCUCCAGCAUGCUAGUGUGGAUUAUUCUAGACCAUAGUUUUCCAAAGAUAUUUGGGGCAAAUCUCUCUUCUACUGCCUUCAAGUUUUUCAACUUAAAUGAGUAUUUUUGACUUCUUGGACAGCCAUAUGAAUUUUUGUGACUAUGCAUGGGAUAGAUUCCUACGUUUUACUAGCCCAGGUAAGCCAUACCUUACUAAAAGACAUACCUUGCCUCCUGACCACUCCUUGCCUUGUAACUCCACAAGGAUGGGGAUAUGAGAGGCCAAUUCUAUUUUGGCUUCCAGUUGUCUUCGAAUGUGUGUGUGUGUGUGCGUGUGUGUGUGUGUGUGUGUGUGUGUGUGUGUGUUUAUUUUGGGUGGUGGGAGAGUUACUUUCUAAUAGAAAGUCCUUGCUUUAUCAUUACUUUGUUCAUUUCCCCUCGAUGACCAGGAAGCUCAGGGCUGAAUUUAGUGUCCAGACAAGCCCACCCGGUUAUGUAGCAACCCUCUUCAGCAACCGUCCUCAGCUUUCCUGGCUGACAGAUUUCUAUGGGAAUUCGAUGGAAGCAUUUAUAUAUGACCACAACACACAAGCACAGAAUAGAAUACAUUCUGAUCACUCCUUGUGGAAAUCUUCAACCGCCGUAUUUUAUGUUGUAGUUGUGUUGCCUUUUGGCGUCCCAAAUGCUGAUGUAUACAAGGACUCCAAGACAUGGGGGAGAUGCUGACGAGCGUCGGAAGGGUUUCGCAAAGGGGAGGAGAUGGUCAGCACUUGCUGAGGGAGAGUAUCUCUCCAGGAAUGGAUCACCACUGAGUCCUGUAGUCUAGGGGAAAAGGGCUAGUCCGAACUGGAGUCUGGGUUUUACCCGAGCCGGUUCUGUCUUGAGCAUAUCCGAUCACUUCAGUGAGCCUCCGGCUCCUUAGCUGGAAACUGAGCAUGCUCCAUAGGACAGUGGGAGAUUAAGGGGGAGACCCUAGAUCGGAAGAGUUGGCUACACUGUGGAGUGUGGUGCAGAUGAGGAGUAAGACUGCUUCCUCAAGAUCCACCACCAGCAGCACUCAGAUUCAACCAUGACCAAGGGACGGACAUGCAGAGGCCAUUGACCAGCUUGGACAGCAAAUGCCACUUGCUGGUGAUCCAACAAUCCUGCGCCCCCAUUUGUUUCUUGCUGCUUUAGGAAAAGGAUCAACGUUUAGGCAGCUUCUAACAUAGCUUGAAGUGAGUAUGUAGAAACUGCCAGGCCAGUAAGGCCAUGAACCAUGUCUCUGGGAUGCCCAGGAGGAAUGCCUGUACCUACCUCAGGCUCUCCUGUCCCCCACCCUCCACACCUGCACCCAGUUAGCCCCUCGUUUAAGCUCCAGUGCAAGGACCAGGCCUUCCAUGGACCUUCCCUGAUAGUGCGUUCUUCUGUCCUCUAGGCCACAGGAUUCUUGUCCAUCUGAUUACAGUAGCAUUUACGGCUGGUUCUGUUCAUCUGUUACUGAAGUGAACGUAACUAGUUUAUUGAGUACUUACUACAGGCCUACCUUGUUUCAUUGGGGUUCAGCUUUAUGGCACUUCCCAGAUAUCGCAUUUUUUUUACGAAUUGAAAGUUUG